AAAAUGUGAGAAGAAACACGUGUUGAAUGCUUCAGUGCAUUGAGAAACUAUAUAAGUUACAACAGAGAAUCAGAAAAGAUGCAAUCGAAAAAUUAAAACAAUACUUGAUUUUCACAAACAGUUUAAUUAGUACGAGAAUCAAGAUAUGGACUCCCAAAACAUGAGCUACAAUGCAGGACAAGCCAAGGCCAAGCUCAAGUAUAUGCCUUUAACUUUUUAUCUGAAUAGUUUCUUCAUGUGCUCGAUGAUAUUGAGAACUCACGCACAAGUAUUUUUGUGCUAUUGCAGGAAAAGGCUGGCAACAUGAUGGACAAGGCUAGCAGUGCUGCUCAAUCUGCUCAAAACUCCAUGCAACAGGUUCUUCUACAUUGAUUUUGUCAACUUUUGUCCAAAUCAAAUAGAUUAAUUAAUAAUGAUGUGAUAACAUGCACAUGUUCAAUCCAUAUUUACAUUCAUUAAUAAAUGAAUAAAUAUAUUCGUACACCGUGUAAAGAAUUACACGGUCGUUCGAUUAGAAAUUUUUUUAUUAUUUUAUAUAUAUAUAUAUAUAUAUAUAUAUAUAUAUAUAUAUAUAUAAAUAAUAUGUUUGUUGAAUCUUAUAAUAAUUAUAUUAUAAUUUAUCAUGAUUUCUAAAUAGUUAAUAGUAUAAAAAUAUUAUACAUUAUCAAGGCAUGAAAAUUAAAAUCUUAAUAAAUUGGACACCCUAAAAUUAAGUUAAUUUAUUUUAAAUUUUUGUGUACACAGGCAGGGCAGCAAAUGCAGGCUAAAGCACAAGGAGCAGCUGAUGCUGUGAAGAAUGCAACAGGGAUGAACAACUAAUGAAGCUUUAGGGGAUCAUUAUGUUGGACUUGGUUUUCCAUUGAAAUAAACCCUGUUAUGCACUGCUGAUUGAUGUAUCUUGCAGAAACGAGAUUCAUUUUUGUUUCAAAUGUAUUCAUUUUAUUUCAUUUUGCAGAAACAUUAACAUGAUUCCAUUUUAUUUCAAAUGUAAUCAUUUUCCAUCAUUAGUUUAGCGGAACCAGUUUCGUUAAUGAUCAAGAUUCAAG
rnacentral:lncRNA from 1 species